GAUCCCUUAGCUCAGCGGUAGAGCAUCUGAUUCCAGUGACCAGGCACAUAGUGUCCACGGUUUGGCAUCCAGAAGGUCGUCCGUUCAAUCCGGGCAGGGAUCA